AUUGAACGCUGGCGGCAGGCCUAACACAUGCAAGUCGAGCGGAUGAAGGGAGCUUGCUCCUGGAUUCAGCGGCGGACGGGUGAGUAAUGCCUAGGAAUCUGCCUGGUAGUGGGGGAUAACGUCCGGAAACGGGCGCUAAUACCGCAUACGUCCUGAGGGAGAAAGUGGGGGAACUUCGGACCUCACGCUAUCAGAUGAGCCUAGGUCGGAUUAGCUAGUUGGUGGGGUAAAGGCCUACCAAGGCGACGAUCCGUAACUGGUCUGAGAGGAUGAUCAGUCACACUGGAACUGAGACACGGUCCAGACUCCUACGGGAGGCAGCAGUGGGGAAUAUUGGACAAUGGGCGAAAGCCUGAUCCAGCCAUGCCGCGUGUGUGAAGAAGGUCUUCGGAUUGUAAGCACUUUAAGUUGGGAGGAAGGGCAGUAAGUUAAUACCUUGCUGUUUUGACGUUACCAACAGAAUAAGCACCGGCUAACUUCGUG
rnacentral:rRNA from 1 species